AGGUCUCCAUAUUUGUAAGUUAUUUUUAAUGAUGGAACACAUGAUUCCGCGAUCGCUUCGUUUAGACAUGAUUUACUAUAUUAGAACUAUUUAGAAAUCAAAUUUCAUAAUUUUUUAACUUUAUUUUUUCGGUGAACAUAUAGUCUCAAAAUAAAUGACUGAAAAUAAAAAUUCUAUAAAAAUAUAGUGAUAAAAGAAUUAAAUUUUAAAUCAGAAGUAUUGAUCUUACUCUUAAUAGUAAGUAAAAAUUUUUAUUAAAAUAUCACGUAAUUUAAAUUGUUUCUACACUGUUGAAUUUACAAAUUAACAGCCAUAUCGGCCAUUAAAACAGUUAUUUUUGAAAUUCUUUUAUUACUUGAUAAAUGAUAUCGUUAUGAAAUUUAGUUUUUAAAUAAUUCUAAUAGUGUAAAUCAUAUCUAACGGAAUCAAUUAUCGAAUCGAAUAUUUCAUCAUCGAAAAUGUUUUA
rnacentral:lncRNA from 1 species